CCUCCUUUUCCCAGUGGAGAUCGGGCGUGUGGUCCCGGUCCCUGUAAUGUAGCGCGGCAGAGGGAAAGGGCUCUGGCCCCCUCGGCGUCACGCCUUUGGUGCCAGCGGCUUCUAGCCCCCUGGUUCUAUCAUCAAGCUUCGGGACACGG